rnacentral:lncRNA from 1 species
AAACGCUCUCUAUCUCAAGAAGCUAACGUCGUCACCCCUCUUCUCCUCCGAUCUCGUCGCUGACCAGCCCCAUUCUAGUGUCUCCGGCGACUAACCAAAUAACCCCAGCAACUAGCCACCUCAACCAUUGGAGAAAGCUCCGCCAUUACCAGCAGCGGCGAACCAACCCAGCGCCGCCGCUAGCUCUCUCUGUUCCUCCUUCUCCAGCUUUCAGCGCCACCAGUCAAUGGCGACCAUCCCCCAUGCCGGAAUCCACAUGAGUCAGACCCCCGCUCCUCCAAAAGAGAAAUAAGAUAAACACUUUUUGAGUUUAACUCUUCUUAUGGUUUGCAUUCUUACUGUUUUUGAUCUUCGUGUGCUCUACCUUAUUCCUAGAUUUUAAGUUCGUGGAACAUGAUUAUGAUUCUUGAGUUAAUUCUCUAUAUCUUUUUAUCAACAUGUGUGAAAAUGUAUUUUCUAAGGUUAUCGAGAUUUUGAUAUCAUCAGGACUAUUUGCAGCCCUAAUAAGUUCUUAGUUAUGCCUUCGUGUGUUGUUCCCUUUCGUGUAUGUUGAUUUGACUGCUCACAUAUUUAGCCUGUGGUUUUAAUAAAUUGUGUUUAUGAUCUUUGACAUCAUUUAGUUUUAGACCUUGUGAGAACUAUUGGGUAUAUGCUUAGUUUUUUAAGGAGACAUUGGUUUGGGUAUUUUACAAUAGUAAAGACUUGUUGGCUUCAGUUAUGAUUUUUGACUAGUUAAAUAAUGACUUGAGAGUUGUGAUAUUCUUAUGUAUGGAUUCUUACUUAUCAAUAAGAUUGGUUUGGAUGGUUGAGGCCAAGUGGUUCAACUUCGCUUUUUAGAUUAUAACUAUGGAUUGUGUAACUUAGUUGCAACCCCUAUUUUUAGGUUUUGACACUUUAGUGAGUCGAAAAUGUUUUAAGUGUAGUCACUUGAGAAUUGCAUUAGUGAGUCAAAAAUGUUUAAUUAUAGUUUCUUGAAAGUUGGGCUUGUGUUUUGAAUAUAGUGAAGUGUGGUCACUUGAGAAGUGAGUUAGUGACUUGAAAAUGUUUAAGUGUAGAUACUAGAAAUGCAAACUUGUGUUUUGAAUUUAGUUAAGUAUGGUCACUUGAGAAGUGCAUUAGUGAGUCGAAAAUGUUUAAGUGUAGUUACUUGAAAGGUGAGCUUGUGUUUUGAAUAUAGUGAAGUGAAUAUAGUGAAGUGUGGUCACUUGAGAAGUGAGUUAGUGACUUGAAAAUGUUUAAGUAUAGGUACUAGAAAUGUGAACUUGUGUUUUGAAUUUAGUUAAGUGUGGUCACUUGAGAAGUGCAUUAGUGAGUCAAAAAUGUUUAAGUGUAGGUACUUGAAAUGUGAACUUGUGUUUUGAAGUUUGUUAAGUGUGGUCACUUGAGAAUUGCAUUAUUGAGUUGAAAAUAUUUUAAGUGUAGUUACUUGAAAGGUGGGUUUGUGUUUUGAAUAUAGUGACUCAAAAAUGUUUUAAUAUGAGUUGAGGGCUUUGGCAUGAUUGAUUCUUAAAUUAUUUUCCAUGAUUUAUUAUUCUUGUUUUUUGCUUUGUUAAUGGUUUUGAACUUGUGGGAUGCAUGGGUAUGGUGAAUAAACUAAGGGGUCAUGGUUUUCCCCAAUUUAAUGAUUUUGACUUGGCAUAUGGUUUUUGAAAUAGCGUCCCCUCAUCCUAUUUGUAGAAUUAAUAAUGAAAUAUAAUUUUGUCACAUGGUUUG